rnacentral:rRNA from 1 species
UACGUAGGGUCCGAGCGUUGUCCGGAAUUAUUGGGCGUAAAGAGCUCGUAGGCGGUUUGUUGCGUCGGCUGUGAAAUCCCGAGGCUCAACCUCGGGUCUGCAGUCGAUACGAGCAAACUAGAGUGUUGCAGGGGAGACUGGAAUUCCUGGUGUAGCGGUGAAAUGCGCAGAUAUCAGGAGGAACACCGAUGGCGAAGGCAGGUCUCUGGGCAUUAACUGACGCUGAGGAGCGAAAGCAUGGGGAGCGAACAGG